rnacentral:rRNA from 1 species
CUAAAAACCUAGCCUUAAACUCACCUACAGGGCCCCCCCCCACCACCCGCCCCCUAACCAAAAUAUUCUCUCACUCUAGUAAAGAAGAUUAAAAAAUUUUUCAUGGAGCAAUAAUUACGUACCGCAAGGGAAAGAUGAAAGAAUGAUGAAAUACACUUAAGCACGAAAUAAUAGAGCCUAACCCUCGUACCUUUUGCAUCAUGGUUUAACUAGUCUAACCAAGCACAAAGACUUUAAGUUUGACACCCCGAAACCAGGUGAGCUACUCUGAGGCAGCUCAUGAGCAAACCCAUCUCUGUUGCAAAAGAGUGGGAAGACCUUAAAGUAGUGGUGAUAUACCUAACGAACCUGGUGAUAGCUGGUUGCUUGUAAAAUGAAUUUUAGUUCAGCCUAAAGUCACCCAAUAACUACAAAUACCCCCUCUGACUUUAGAGUAAUUUAAGUAGGGAACAGCCUACUUAAAAUAGGAUACAACCUCCCCCGAUGGGUAACCACCUAAUUAUACCUACCAAGUGGGCCUAAAAGCAGCCAUCUUUCAAAUCGCGUCAAAGCCUAUUACGUAAUUAACCCGAUCCCCCUCUACACACUCAACCCUCCACCACUAACAAGCAAUUCUAUAAGUCUAUAGAAUUUAUUAUGUUAAAACUAGUAAUAAGAAGUCCCUUCUCUUAUAUGUAAGCUUAACCCAGAACGGAUUAACCACUGGCAAUUAACAGGCCCCAAUAGUAACUUAGCAAGAAAACCCAAUUACUAACACUGUCAACCUAACCCCAGAGCAUAACAAGAAAGAUUUAAAAGAGGGGAAGGAACUCGGCAAACCACAGUCCCGCCUGUUUACCAAAAACAUCGCCUCUUGCACCCAUAAGAGGUCUAGCCUGCCCAGUGACCCAGUUCAACGGCCGCGGUAUACUAACCGUGCAAAGGUAGCGCAAUCACUUGUUUCUUAAAUAGAGACUUGUAUGAAUGGCAUCACGAGGACUUAGCUGUCUCCCCCUCUUAAUCAGUGAAACUAAUCUCCCUGUGAAAAAGCAGGGGUAAAAUUACAAGACGAGAAGACCCUAUGGAGCUUUAAAUACUGUAACAUCUGCCCCCCAUAACUUACAGCACUAUGAUUACAAAUUUUAGGUUGGGGUGACCAUGGAGAAAAACAAACCCACCAUGCUGCAAGUCUAACUCAAAUCUAAGAACUUCAACUCCACGAAUCAAUAAAUUGACAUAAUUGACCCAAAUAUUUGAUCAACGAAACAAGUUACCCUAGGGAUAACAGCGCCAUCCACUUCAAAAGUACAUAUUGACAAGUGGGCUUACGACCUCGAUGUUGGAUCAGGAUACCCCAGUGGUGCAGCCGCUACUAAAGGUUUGUUUGUUCAACAAUUAAAAUCCUACGUGAUCUGAGUUCAGACCGGAGAAAUCCAGGUCGGUUUCUAUCUGUAUAGAGCACUCCCCAGUACGAAAGGACCGGGACAGCAUGGCCAAUAAAAACCUCAAGCCAUAGAAUCAACUUAUAACCUCCACUUAAUAAACAACUAUCUCCCGUAUAACCCCAGACAAGAGCA